UUGACCUCGGAUCAGGUAGGGAUACCCGCUGAACUUAAGCAUAUCAAUAAGCGGAGGAAAAGAAACCAACAGGGAUUGCCCCAGUAACGGCGAGUGAAGCGGCAAGAGCUCAAAUUUGAAAGCUGGCUCCUUCGGGGUCCGCAUUGUAAUUUGCAGAGGAUGCUUCGGGAGCGGUCCCCAUCUAAGUGCCCUGGAACGGGACGUCAUAGAGGGUGAGAAUCCCGUAUGGGAUGGGGUGUCCGCGCCCGUGUGAAGCUCCUUCGACGAGUCGAGUUGUUUGGGAAUGCAGCUCUAAAUGGGUGGUAAAUUUCAUCUAAAGCUAAAUAUUGGCCGGAGACCGAUAGCGCACAAGUAGAGUGAUCGAAAGAUGAAAAGCACUUUGAAAAGAGAGUUAAAAAGCACGUGAAAUUGUUGAAAGGGAAGCGCUUGCGACCAGACUCGCUCGCGGGGUUCAGCCGGCAUUCGUGCCGGUGUACUUCCCCGCGGGCGGGCCAGCGUCGGUUUGGGCGGUCGGUCAAAGGCCCUCGGAAGGUAACGCCCCUAGGGGCGUCUUAUAGCCGAGGGUGCAAUGCGACCUGCCUAGACCGAGGAACGCGCUUCGGCUCGGACG
rnacentral:rRNA from 1 species